rfam:Nicotiana attenuata strain TT chromosome 7, whole genome shotgun sequence.
GAGAGCGCAGUACAACGGAGAGUUGUAUGCUGCGUUCGGGAAGAUCAGUCGGGGGACCUGAGAGGCGGUGGUUUACCCUGC